GGAUGAACGCUGGCGGCGUGCCUAAUACAUGCAAGUCGAACGCUUUGUGGUUCAACUGAUUUGAAGAGCUUGCUCAGAUAUGACGAUGGACAUUGCAAAGAGUGGCGAACGGGUGAGUAACACGUGGGAAACCUACCUCUUAGCAGGGGAUAACAUUUGGAAACAGAUGCUAAUACCGUAUAACAAUGACAACCGCAUGGUUGUUAUUUAAAAGAUGGUUCUGCUAUCACUAAGAGAUGGUCCCGCGGUGCAUUAGCUAGUUGGUAAGGUAAUGGCUUACCAAGGCGAUGAUGCAUAGCCGAGUUGAGAGACUGAUCGGCCACAAUGGGACUGAGACACGGCCCAUACUCCUACGGGAGGCAGCAGUAGGGAAUCUUCCACAAUGGGCGAAAGCCUGAUGGAGCAACGCCGCGUGUGUGAUGAAGGGUUUCGGCUCGUAAAACACUGUUGUAAGAGAAGAAUGACAUUGAGAGUAACUGUUCAAUGUGUGACGGUAUCUUACCAGAAAGGAACGGCUAAAUACGUGCCAGCAGCCGCGGUAAUACGUAUGUUCCAAGCGUUAUCCGGAUUUAUUGGGCGUAAAGCGAGCGCAGACGGUUAUUUAAGUCUGAAGUGAAAGCCCUCAGCUCAACUGAGGAAUUGCUUUGGAAACUGGAUGACUUGAGUGCAGUAGAGGAAAGUGGAACUCCAUGUGUAGCGGUGAAAUGCGUAGAUAUGUGGAAGAACACCAGUGGCGAAGGCGGCUUUCUGGACUGUAACUGACGUUGAGGCUCGAAAGUGUGGGUAGCAAACAGGAUUAGAUACCCUGGUAGUCCACACCGUAAACGAUGAGUGCUAGGUGUUUGAGGGUUUCCGCCCUUAAGUGCCGCAGCUAACGCAUUAAGCACUCCGCCUGGGGAGUACGACCGCAAGGUUGAAACUCAAAGGAAUUGACGGGGACCCGCACAAGCGGUGGAGCAUGUGGUUUAAUUCGAAGCAACGCGAAGAACCUUACCAGGUCUUGACAUCCCUUGACAACUCCAGAGAUGGAGCGUUCCCUUCGGGGACAAGGUGACAGGUGGUGCAUGGUUGUCGUCAGCUCGUGUCGUGAGAUGUUGGGUUAAGUCCCGCAACGAGCGCAACCCUUAUUACUAGUUGCCAGCAUUUAGUUGGGCACUCUAGUGAGACUGCCGGUGACAAACCGGAGGAAGGUGGGGAUGACGUCAAAUCAUCAUGCCCCUUAUGACCUGGGCUACACACGUGCUACAAUGGCGUAUACAACGAGUUGCCAACCCGCGAGGGUGAGCUAAUCUCUUAAAGUACGUCUCAGUUCGGAUUGUAGGCUGCAACUCGCCUACAUGAAGUCGGAAUCGCUAGUAAUCGCGGAUCAGCACGCCGCGGUGAAUACGUUCCCGGGUCUUGUACUCACCG
rnacentral:rRNA from 1 species